rnacentral:misc_RNA from 1 species
AGAAGAAGAAGAAGAAAAUGGAUGGCGCAGAGGAGAUGGAAAUAGAGGGACAAUCGCAGUUGCUUCCAAUAUGCAACAAUUCUAAGCGAUUUGGUAUCAAAAACUCUAUUCAGACUAACUUCGCCGACGAUUACGUUUUCCAAAUUGUUCCCAAGAAUGAUUGGACAUCAAUGGCGGUAUCACUCUCAACUAAUGCGAUUAAGUUGUACUCUUUAGCUACUGCACAGUACAUUGGGGAAUGUAAUGGUCAUUCUUCAACGAUUAAUCAAAUUUCCUUUUCGGAUCCUUCAUCGCCACAUGUGCUGCAUUCUUGUUCUUCUGAUGGAACUCUCAGAGCUUGGGAUACCAGGUCUUUUCAGCAGGUGUUUUCCCUAAAUGCUGGCCCUUCUCAAGAGAUAUUUAGUUUCUCCUUUGGUGGACCUAAUCAUAAUCUGCUUGCUGCCGGGUGUAAUUCUCAGAUACUCUUUUGGGAUUGGAGGACCAAGCGUCAGGUUGCGUGCUUGGAGGAAUCUCAUACGGAAGAUGUUACUCAGGUGCACUUUAUUCCAGGCUAUGAUGAUAGACUCAUUUCUGGAUCAGUUGAUGGAUUAAUGUGUCUAUUUGAUACUGGUGGAGAUAUCAACGAUGAUGAUCAAAUGGUAUCGGUACUCAAUGUGGGAACCUCUAUUGGAAAAGUGGGAUUUCUUGGAGAGAAGAAUCAGAAGCUUUGGUGUUUGACACACAUUGAAACUUUAAGUGUCUGGGACUGGAAAGAAGAAAAAACCGAGGCCAGUUUUGAGGAUGCUAGAUCCUUGGCCUCUAAGAGCUGGAUGGCAGACAACGUUGACUAUUUCAUUGAUUGCCACUAUUCAGUGGAGGAAGAUCGUCUCUGGGUAAUUGGUGGUACGAAUGGUGGUUCGUUGGGCUAUUUCCCUGUAACUUAUAAAGAGACACGAGCUAUUGGUCCUCCAGAAGCAAUUUUAUGCGGUGGACAUGAAGGCAUCGUUAGGAGUGUCUUGUCUGGGGUACCAGGUCAGACCAUGGAUAACCACGGGAUCUUUGGAUGGACUGGUGGUGAAGAUGGUCGUCUUUGUUGUUGGUUGUCUGAUGGUUCUAGUACAAGCCAAUCAUGGAUCUCUACUCUUGCUUUGAAAUCAGACAAGACUCGCCGAAAGGGCAGACAUUCCCCGUACUAACAAUUUUUCCUUUGGAUGGAAAGAUUAUGUUGUAUAUUAUUUAUUAGUUACUUCAUGUUGUCUUCGUCUCUUAUAUCAGUGUUGUGUCUUAAAUUUAUUUGUCAGGUUUGCUUCAUUUGAAAUGAGGAAAUAUGUCUGAAAUAUACCUCAACUUUGAUUAAAAAUUG